rnacentral:lncRNA from 10 species
GAAUCCAAUUACACCUUCCAAAGGGAUAAAUGCUGUGCACAUCAAUACAUGCUGAGAAAAAAGCCCAAGGUCUUGGAUCUCUUACAGUAAUUCUACCUGCUAGAGCACAAAGUUAUGGAAUCACCUGGACUAUAAGUAAAGGAAUUGGAGUGUGAUCCUGAGCCUGACCAGCUCUAUGGCUUUGGCCCUGCUGUUUAACCUUUCCCUAAGUCUCUUCAUCUGUAAAAUGAGCAACUAUACUCACUUAUCACUAAGAUUUCUCCCUAUUCUCAUUCUAUCUCUCUAAGAGCUAACAUGUAGUGCUUUGUAAGACUAUCAUAAAUACCAUGUGAAUAAAUUUGUGUUAUUAUGGAUUGUUACCACCUUGGCCUUAUAGUUUGUGUUCCAAGACUCCUAUCUCUCACUAGCCUGAGGGAAGGGAAAAAGCUGAGAAUGAGUAGCAGAAGACUUUCUACUCUCACAAUGGCUACAUAUUUCCAAGUGGCCCAGAUUUCCUCUCUUAGUCUUCACAUCCUUUCUACCAGUUUGCACCCUCCAUCAUCUCUCGGAAGCACCAGGGUCCCACACAGUUCUCAAUCACUCUUCAUUUCAUAAAACAAAUUUGUUAAAUUAUUGAGUUUUAAUCACUCAUAGACACACAUACUCAUGAUAUUAAGGGAGUGGAUUUUUAUCACUCACUCAGACAUACGCAUACUCACACACUCAUAUACCCAUGUGUGUAAGAGAGGAAAGACAUUUCUUUUGGUUUUGUUUGUUGAUUUAUUUUAGAGACAGGGUCUCAGUCUGUCACCCAGGCUUCAGUUCGGCGGCCUGAUCAUAGCUCACUUCAGCCUUGAAAACUCCUGGGCUUAAAUGAUCCUCCCACCUCAGCCUCCCAAGUACCUGGGACUACAGGCAUGCGCUACGACGCCUGGCUAAUUAUUUUUUAAAAUUUUUUGUAGAGACAGGGUCUCACUUUGUUGCCCAGGUUGGUCCUGAAUUCCAGGGCUCAAGUGAUCCUCCCACCUC